rnacentral:sRNA from 1 species
UCCGUAGGUGAACCUGCGGANGGAUCAUUACAGAGUUGCAAAACUCCCUAAACCAUUGUGAACGUUACCUUAUACCGUUGCUUCGGCGGGCGGACCGGGUCCUGCCCGGCGCCCCUCGGCCCCUCGCGGGGCGCCCGCCGGAGGUAAACCAAACUAUUGCAUUGUAUGGCCUCUCUGAGUCUUCUGUACUGAAUAAGUCAAAACUUUCAACAACGGAUCUCUUGGUUCUGGCAUCGAUGAAGAACGCAGCGAAAUGCGAUAAGUAAUGUGAAUUGCAGAAUUCAGUGAAUCAUCGAAUCUUUGAACGCACAUUGCGCCCGCCAGUAUUCUGGCGGGCAUGCCUGUUCGAGCGUCAUUUCAACCAUCAAGCCCCGGGCUUGUGUUGGGGACCUGCGGCUGCCGCAGGCCCUGAAAACCAGUGGCGGGCUCGCUGUCACUCCGAGCGUAGUAGUUACAUCUCGCUCAGGGCGUGCUGCGGGUUCCGGCCGUUAAACCCCCCAUUUUACAAGGUUGACCUCGGAUCAGGUAGGAAGACCCGCUGAACUUAAGCAUAUCAAUAAGCGGAGGAAAAGAAACCAACAGGGAUUGCCCUAGUAACGGCGAGUGAAGCGGCAACAGCUCAAAUUUGAAAUCUGGCUUCGGCCCGAGUUGUAAUUUGCAGAGGAAGCUUUAGGCGCGGCACCAACUGAGUCCCCUGGAACGGGGCGCCACAGAGGGUGAGAGCCCCGUAUAGUUGGACGCCUAGCCUGUGUAAAGCUCCUUCGACGAGUCGAGUAGUUUGGGAAUGCUGCUCAAAAUGGGAGGUAAAUUUCUUCUAAAGCUAAAUACCGGCCAGAGACCGAUAGCGCACAAGUAGAGUGAUCGAAAGAUGAAAAGCACUUUGAAAAGAGGGUUAAAUAGCACGUGAAAUUGUUGAAAGGGAAACGCUUGAAGU